ACCUAAAAAACACACACCCUAAGAAAAAAUACAUUGAAAUCCGCCGCUGAGCAGAACACGACCCCCCCGGACCUCUCCAAAACUUGAUCUUCUUCAAAAAGCUUCCAGCGAAAAACAGCACAGAACAGCCCCAAAAAUUGCCUGGAAUAAGCUGAAAAUUGACCGUGAAAUAACCCCUCAAACCCGGCAAAAUCAGCCGAGAAACAGCUACUUUUAAACCCGCAACAUCAGUUACAAAAAUCGUAGUUGUCGUCACUCUUUAACCCCAAAACAGUAGCUCAGAUUGUUGCUAAUUCCACCGCGAAACAGAACCAAAAUUUCAGUCGGGUUUGAGGUCGCUGACGAGAUUCCGAGCUCCGGUCGUUGGUCAGACUCUUACGCUUCGUUCACCUUGAGAGUGCAACUGUAAUAUCCAAGGCAAAUUUGUCAAUAUAAAUGUCGACCUUCCCAUUCCAUUCCGGUUUAUAUGGUGUUCGCUCAAGUUUCCGUACACUUGUUAUCCCUAGUAGCAUGAAGUUUCACUCAAUGUACAUGAACCCUUGUGAAAUCCAAAUGAUGAAGCUUUUCUACCAUACGACUCUGUUUUUUUGUUUUCAUUAUUAGUUUAAUAUGUAGCUGUAGUUUCAUUACUAGUUUGUAUUAAUUAGGACUGUUUGGAUUUGUUUCAAUUAAACUAUAAAGCUUUUGGACUGUUGAUUCUAAGACUGUACUAAUUAGGACUAUUGGACUCCUUUUGUAAAGGACUGUGAACUAAUUCGGUCUCAAUCAUGAAUCACCUGAAAUUCGUGUCUAGUAAUGUUAGGUUCGAUUUAAAUUGGUGCUGCUA